UAUUUAUUUAUUUAUUUAUUUAUUUAUUUAUUUAUUUAUUUAUUUAUUUAUUUAUUUAUUUAUUUAUUGCCCUUUUCAGUGUCGGCAGAAGAAGGGACUUUUACCAGAAGUCCCCAUUCAUUCUCAAACUGCUUUGGAGGGACUGAGAAACAGAAAAGGCAGGGGCCUGAAAUUCCUUCUGUAUUUUGUUUUAGAAGAACUGUGUGAAUGGAAAUGCCUUCAGGAUAUUUUGUAAAGACGGGUUCAGCAGGGGUCAAAAUCUGCAAGAUGACAGCACCUUUGGACUUUGAUCACGAAGCCUCGCCUGCCAUGUUGCAGAUUUGCAAAUGACACUCCUGUUUGCAAAUAAAAAAUUAUCUAAGCCGAUGGUUCUCAAACAUUUUGCUCUCAGAACCUCUUCCAUCUUUAAAAAUGAUGGAGGACCCAAAAAGCUUUGGUUUAUGUGGUUUAUAUCUAUUGGUAAGUAUUGUAUUAGAAAUUAAACCCGAGAAAUAUUAAAAUGUUUAUUUCUUGGACUUUGCAGAUCUCCUGAAAGGAUCUCAGGGGGCACUCAGGUAUUCCCAGACCACACUCUGGAACGCCUCGAGCAAUUUCAACCAAACUUGGUACACAAAUGACUUACUCUCCGGGGAAAAAAAAUAUUGUGGGGCCUAGAACUGUGUUGGCUUUUUUGGCAGCUGCAGGACAUGGCUGGCUCAUAGUUUGAAAAGAAGAGAAUAAAUCUGCACAGUAGGAGAGAUCCCUUGGCCAAGGACCUUCUGCUCCUAUUCAGUGUCGCAAACCAGCGUCUGCAUUUUUCUGGAGGGACAAUGAUGAUGAGGAAGCCAUGAGGUGGCUCUUUCCAAGAACCCCAUGGCCUGUUGAAGGAACUUAUUUAUUUAUUUAUUUAAAACAUGUACAUAGCUGCCCAUCUUUCUCAUUUGCUGGAUAUGUGCUGCUCAAAUGGCUGAUGCUCAGCUUGUUCCAUGCUGCAUCUGCUACAACCUAGAAUUAAGGAGAAAUUUCCUGACAGUGAGAACAAUUAAUCAGCGGAACAGCUUGCCUACAGAAG